rnacentral:rRNA from 1 species
UACGUAGGGGGCAAGCGUUGUCCGGAAUCACUGGGCGUAAAGCGCGCGCAGGCGGUCCUUUAAGUCUGAUGUGAAAGCCCACGGCUCAACCGUGGAGGGUCAUUGGAAACUGGGGGACUUGAGUACAGAAGAGAAGAGUGGAAUUCCACGUGUAGCGGUGAAAUGCGUAGAGAUGUGGAGGAACACCAGUGGCGAAGGCGACUCUUUGGUCUGUAACUGACGCUGAGGCGCGAAAGCGUGGGGAGCAAACAGG